UACGUAGGGUGCAAGCGUUGUCCGGAAUUAUUGGGCGUAAAGAGCUCGUAGGCGGUUUGUUGUCGUCGGCUGUGAAAUCCCGAGGCUCAACCUUGGGCUUGCAGUGGGUACGGGCAGACUAGAGUGCGGUAGGGGUGACUGGAAUUCCUGGUGUAGCGGUGAAAUGCGCAGAUAUCAGGAGGAACACCGGUGGCGAAGGCGGGUCUCUGGGCCGAUACUGACGCUGGAGGAGCGAAAGCGUGGGGAGCGAACAGG
rnacentral:rRNA from 1 species